GAGCAGGACGACCCCCUGUCUUGUCAUCGUCCACCCAGACUGACCAAACAAGUUUGUUCUUUGGCUAAGCGCCAUUUCAAGCGAGGACAGUCGUAACAAUGGAUACAGCUCCUUUGCCAAAAGAGGCGUUACAUAAUAGUUCAAAAUUAUCAGAUUUUUAUAACUGCAAGAAGUUCCCGAAGAUGCUGUUAAUGUCCUAAAAGGGUAAAGGCAAAGCAAGUAUUUUAGCAUCAGGUUGUUAUUUGAAAAAAAAAAAAAAAAAAAAAAAAAAUCCAAAUUCUGCACUUCUAAUAUUUGGUAAAUGGAAUAGAAGACAUGGAAUCUCUUGGACCAGCUCAGAAUAAACAGCCCAUUAUAGUGUGUAUUACAAGUUCAUUCUAUAUUAAAGCAGUAAAUCACUUAAAAGCAUGCCCAAAUCAUGCCAUGAAGGCAUUUGACAUUCUAUUUAAAACUAAUUUUGUAUUUAGCGUUCAAUAUGCACAUACAUCAACAAAUUUUUAUAAUUUUGUGGCAAGCCUUUUGUAUAAUGUCAGCACUCCUAGAGCUUGUGUGGACUCUUUAAAUACAUGUUCGAGUCUGAAUUUAUUGCAUUUUGUACAUGCAUUACAUUUCAU
rnacentral:lncRNA from 1 species